rnacentral:lncRNA from 1 species
CAAAACCUUAGGUUGGUCGCAUACUUUAGAACAAUAAGCUGUUUUGUGGUAAACUUGCACUCCAUAGUACAGAUAACUUAAAUAUGAUAGAAAUGAGAAAAGAAAAUAAUCAGCUUAAGAGAUAUAAGGAGCAUUAAAAUACUGAAAAUAAAAUAUUGUGAAGAAAAGUAGCUAAAAGUUACAAAUAGUUGAGCUGCCACCUGCAAGACAGGGUAAGAGCUGAUUUACGAAACCGAU